CCAGUGAGAGAAGGAGAGGAGAGCCUGUGAGAAGAGGAAACACUUGAUGUGCAGGGCCACGUUGGUCCAUGUGACACAGAACGACUGGUUGAUGGUGUUGGGCCACCUGCUAUCCUUGCUGCUCAUCCCGAGCUGCUCUGAGGCUUAUGGUGUGGCUUUCAGACAAGAAGACCUGGCCUGCCAGUAUUUCUUGCUCUCCGCCAUGUCGGAGCAGGAAGAUGAUGAAAUGUGCUGGAAUAACUUGGAGAACUUCCGGGUGAAGCUGAUCUCAGUGAUAGACCCCUCCAGAAUAACGCCUUAUCUCCGCCAGUGCAAAGUGAUUAACCAUGAUGACGAAGAACAAGUGCUUAACGACCCCAGCCUGGUCGUCCGGAAACGGAAAGUAGGCGUCCUCCUGGAUAUACUUCAGAGGACAGGCCAGAAAGGUUUUGAGGCCUUUCUUGAGAGCCUAGAGCUUUACUACCCACUGUUAUAUAUGAAAGUAACCGGCAAGGAGCCCAGCAGGGUCUUUUCGAUGAUUAUAGACACCGCGGGGGAAUCGGGCCUGAGCCAGCUCCUGAUGAACGAGAUCAUGAAGCUGCAGAGCACCGUGCAGGAGGAGAGGAGGAAGGCUCAGGAGCUCAACAUGUGGCUCCAUGCCAAGGAGGAUGCGAUCAAGGAGAUGCGGGUGAGGGACAGUGUGCUGCGGAAGCACCAAGAGAGGGCCCAGAAGAUGAAGGAGGAGAGGGACAACUUGGCCAAGGAGCUGCGGAAAUGUAAGGAUGAGAACUACGACCUGGCCAUGAGCUACGCCAAGCAGAGCGAGGAGAAGAACACAGCCCUGAUGAAGAACCGGGAUUUGCAGCUAGAGAUUGACCAUCUGAGGCACAGCCUAAUGAAGGCCGAGGACGACUGUAAACUGGAGAGGAAGCACACGAUGAAACUGAAGCACGCCAUUGAGCAGCGGCCGAGCCACGAAGUGGUGUGGGAGAUCCAGCGGGAGAAGGAGCUGCUGCUGGCCAAGAAUCAAGAGCUGGAGAACACGCUCCAGGUCGCCAAGGAAGGGAACUUGGAGAAGAACAGCCUCUAUGUCCAGGCUCUGGAGGCUGAUCGGAGACGGGCACUCGGGGAGCAUCAGGAGCUGGUGAACACCAUCUACAGCCUGCGCAAGGCACUCCGGCAAGCGGAGGAUCUCCGGGACAAACACGCGGAGGAGAAGGAGGUGCUGGAGCUGCAGUGCAUGUCCCUGAGGAAGGACUCCUGGAUGUACAAGGAUCGCAUCGAGGCCAUCUUGAAGCAGAUAGAAGAAGUGGCUGCAGAAAGAGAUCAGGCGCUGCUGACCCGAGAACAGUUCCACAUGCAAUACUCCAAGAGCCUGGUCGACAAAGACGCAUACCGCAAAGAGAUCCGGGAGCUGGGGGAGAGGUGCGAUGAGAUGCAGCUACAGCUGUUCCAGAAGGAGGGCCAGUUACUAGCUGCUGAGGCCAAGCUGAAAAAGUUGCACCUGGAGCCACCCACGCUGACUUCUGACCUAGAUGACACCUCGCCCAGGAGCUCCCAAGAGCUCUCUUUCCAUGGAAACCUAGAUGAGGACACGCAGCUGUCUGAUAAAAAAGAUCUCCCUGAAAAUCAGGAUCAGCAGCUCAGUGCGUUAGAGAGCAUUCAGUGCCUGCAGUCGUCAAACGAGGGUGGCCCACCCAAUGGAGAGCUGGCUGAGAAGGAGCGGCGGCGGAUGAAGGACAGCUUUGAACACUAUCGGAGGUGUGGCCUGUGCUCUCAGGACUGCUCUUGCCAUAUUUGUUUGCAUAACCUACUGGUCACUGUGUGUCAUGUCCCCUGUUGUGCCUGAUCCACAGAGGAUGAGAGUUUGUUACUGCCUCCUUUUCUAGCUCAAGCUGUAGGGACUCGUGCAUUUAGUCCAGAUGUACCGAGCAUGUUGGCCAAAAUGGAAGCCGUUGCAUUGCACUGAAACAAGUGUGGAUGUUUUCAGACACAAAUGUAUAACAUGGCCUGUGUCAUAGGCUGCUUCAUGCCAUUUCCACAGUAGUUUAACAGAGGGGUACCCAGAGGACAUAAGCUGGAGGUGGUCACCUGGGUCAUGGGCACUGGAUCACAAUGCCACUCACUCAGAUUUGUAGGGGGUCUAUGCAGGGGCUCAUGGGCCAUGGGGGUCAGGCUGCUGGUGGGGAUAAGGGGUUCCUGAGAGGAGAAAAUGAGGGUCAGGUGGCAGGGACACAUCUAUGCCUCCCACCCCAGACUUUUAAUGGCACUCUGCAGUCCUGGGGGCACCAUGCUUUGGGAACUGCUGGCUUGGUAAGUUUGAUCUAUUUUACUAGCGCAGGGUUCCAUCCUGCUGCUGCUGACACCAAAGACCAAGUUCCUAUUAAUGAGACUCGGGGCAGGUUUGAGCUGUUUCAAUCCCCAAAGACGGAGAUGGAGGCACUCCGCAGCUUGCAAUAAUUCUGAAAGGGCCGAGCAUCUUGUAAAAUACGGAUCUUAAUUUGCACACUAAAUAGAAAUGAUCCAAAAGAGCUAAAUACUGGAGCAGGAACAUCUAAAACCAUGUUGUAUUGUUUCUGUAAGUGGUAGUGUGCUGGGCUCUUACGUAAUAUUUGUAUUCAAGAAGGAACUGAGAGUCUGGAAAUUCUCGCGUUCAGUUGUACUGUACUUAGAGGAAUAUAGGACUGGCUUUACUGCUCUAGACUAAAUCCAAUAAACUGCUUCUGAUCACAGUCUAUAUUGGAUGCUGGAGAAAACCCAGAAUACUAAUAGCAAUUGUGGAUAAUUUAUUUGACAAAGUUGCCCCAAUGAACAAUGUUGAUUUAGCCAGUGCUCCCCAGAAGGUACAGGCGUGUGUGAUACUGUUAUCAUGGAAGGAGACUUCUUCCUGACCUUCAGCAGGAAGAGGGCAUUGCGAAGGGUGCAGAAGGGCAGACACCAUGAAGUGGAUUGGGAAAACAACA